rnacentral:rRNA from 1 species
UACAGAGGGGGCAAGCGUUAUUCGGAAUUAUUGGGCGUAAAGGGCGCGUAGGCGGCUUGGCAAGUGGAAGGUGAAAUCCCUCGGCUUAACCGAGGAACUGCCCUCCAAACUGCUUCGCUUGAGACCGGGAGAGGUGAGUGGAAUUCCCAGUGUAGCGGUGAAAUGCGUAGAUAUUGGGAGGAACACCAGCGGCGAAGGCGGCUCACUGGACCGGUACUGACGCUGAUGCGCGAAAGCGUGGGGAGCAAACGGG